AGAGUUUGAUCCUGGCUCAGGACGAACGCUGGCGGCGCGCCAAACACAUGCAAGUCGAACGAGCGAGAGAGAGUUUACUUUCUCGAGCGAGUGGCGAACGGGUGAGUAACGCGUGAGGAACCUGCCUCAAAGAGGGGGACAACAGUUGGAAACGACUGCUAAUACCGCAUAAGCCCACGACCCGGCAUCGGGUAGAGGGAAAAGGAGCAAUCCGCUUUGAGAUGGCCUCGCGUCCGAUUAGCUAGUUGGUGAGGUAACGGCCCACCAAGGCGACGAUCGGUAGCCGGACUGAGAGGUUGAACGGCCACAUUGGGACUGAGACACGGCCCAGACUCCUACGGGAGGCAGCAGUGGGGAAUAUUGCACAAUGGGGGAAACCCUGAUGCAGCGACGCCGCGUGGAGGAAGAAGGUCUUCGGAUUGUAAACUCCUGUUGUUGAGGAAGAUAAUGACGGUACUCAACAAGGAAGUGACGGCUAACUACGUGCCAGCAGCCGCGGUAGAACGUAGGCCACAAGCGUUGUCCGGAAUUACUGGGUGUAAAGGGAGCGCAGGCGGGAAGACAAGUUGGAAGUGAAAUCCAUGGGCUCAACCCAUGAACUGCUUUCAAAACUGUUUUUCUUGAGUAGUGCAGAGGUAGGCGGAAUUCCCGGUGUAGCGGUGGAAUGCGUAGAUAUCGGGAGGAACACCAGUGGCGAAGGCGGCCUACUGGGCACCAACUGACGCUGAGGCUCGAAAGUGUGGGUAGCAAACAGGAUUAGAUACCCUGGUAGUCCACACUGUAAACGAUGAUUACUAGGUGUUGGAGGAUUGACCCCUUCAGUGCCGCAGUUAACACAAUAAGUAAUCCACCUGGGGAGUACGACCGCAAGGUUGAAACUCAAAGGAAUUGACGGGGGCCCGCACAAGCAGUGGAGUAUGUGGUUUAAUUCGACGCAACGCGAAGAACCUUACCAAGUCUUGACAUCCUGCGACGGUUCUGGAAACAGAACUUUCCUUCGGGACGCAGAGACAGGUGGUGCAUGGUUGUCGUCAGCUCGUGUCGUGAGGUGUUGGGUUAAGUCCCGCAACGAGCGCAACCCCUGCCCCGUGUUGCCAGCAUUCAGUUGGGGACUCGCGGGGGACCGCCGGCGUCAAGCCGGAGGAAGGCGGGGACGACGUCAAGUCAUCAUGCCCCUUAUGCCCUGGGCCGCACACGUGCUACAAUGGCCGGUACAGAGGGUUGCCACCCCGCGAGGGGGAGCGGAUCCCGCAAAGCCGGCCCCAGUUCGGAUCGGAGGCUGCAACCCGCCUCCGUGAAGCCGGAGUUGCUAGUAAUCGCGGAUCAGCACGCCGCGGUGAAUACGUUCCCAGGCCUUGUACACACCGCCCGUCACACCACCCGAGUCGUCUGCACCCGAAGCCGCCGGCCGAACCCCUCUGGGGGCGGAGGCGUCGAAGGUGUGGAGGGUGAGGGGGGUGAAGUCGUAACAAGGUA
rnacentral:rRNA from 1 species